UACGUAGGGGGCAAGCGUUGUCCGGAAUUAUUGGGCGUAAAGAGCGCGUAGGCGGUCCGGUAAGUCAGCUGUGAAAGUCAAGGGCUCAACCCUUGAAAGCCGGCUGAUACUGCCGGACUAGAGUCCGGAAGAGGCGAGUGGAAUUCCCGGUGUAGCGGUGGAAAUGCGCAGGAUAUCGGGAGGAACACCAAUGGCGAAGGCGGCUCACUGGACUGGU
rnacentral:rRNA from 1 species